rnacentral:rRNA from 1 species
GAAGGGUGCAAGCGUUACUCGGAAUUACUGGGCGUAAAGCGUGCGUAGGUGGUUCGUUAAGUCUGAUGUGAAAGCCCUGGGCUCAACCUGGGAACUGCAUUGGAUACUGGCGAUCUGGAGUGCGGUAGAGGGUAGCGGAAUUCCCGGUGUAGCAGUGAAAUGCGUAGAUAUCGGGAGGAACAUCCGUGGCGAAGGCGGCUACCUGGACCAGCACUGACACUGAGGCACGAAAGCGUGGGGAGCAAACAGGAUUAGAUACCCUGGUAGUCCACGCCCUAAACGAUGCGAACUGGAUGUUGGGUGCAACUUGGCACUCAGUAUCGAAGCUAACGCGUUAAGUUCGCCGCCUGGGAAGUACGGUCGCAAGACUG